UUCUGGUGAGAGCGGGCGGUUUUCUUGCUUAGCGGGUCAGGUUCGAAAGAAAGCAGCUCAAGGCUUGUUGGAUCGGGUCGCUCUCACUUAUUUAC
rnacentral:SRP_RNA from 1 species